UGUCGGGUGUCGUGACCUUGGCGAAACUAAACGAUAAUUACACCGAAUAAAUAGUGGAGCCCCUGCGACUCGUCCUAGCGCCACAGACGCAGCUACUGAUCGUCAACGGCUGUCUGCAGUCUCGCUCUUCAGCAACAUGGCCACCGCAGUGCCCCUGCCGCAGCCUCUGCUCGACCCUUCGGAAUUGCUCAGGCCGGAGCCCCUAUACGCAGGGAAGCCGGUCUCGCAGUUCCGCGACUACACCAUCGACGAGAAUGACCCAGUCAAGGAGCGAGUGCGCAAGCUCUACCUCGCCAUGCACACGCACCAGACCGUGGACUUCGUCAAGAGUCGGCACGAGAAGUGGCGCAAGUUCGACAAGUUCCGUGCUCCCGUGCUGGAAGCCCUCGACACGCUGAACAAGCUGGUGGACGAGAGUGACCCGGACGUCGACGUGCCCAACAUCGUGCACGCCUACCAGACGGCCGAACGCAUCCGCGAGGACUUCCCGGACUGCGAGUGGCUGCAGCUCACCGGACUCAUACACGACCUGGGCAAGUUCAUGGCGUUCUAUGAUGAGCCUCAGUGGGCAGUCGUAGGCGAUACUUUCCCAGUGGGCUGCGCCUGGGCCGACUCCAUCGUCUACAGGGACACCAGCUUCGUCGACAACCCGGACGGCAAGGACCCACGUUACAACACCAAGUACGGCAUGUACAAACCACACUGUGGACUGAACAACGUGCUGAUGUCGUGGGGCCAUGACGAGUACCUUUACCAUGCUCUCAGGCAUAACGGCUCCAAGCUGCCAGAAAUAGCGCACAGAAUCAUACGCUUCCACUCCUUCUACCCGUGGUACACCAACGGGGAAUACAUGCACCUCUGCAACGAGGAGGAUAUGGAAACCCUCAAGUGGGUUAAGGUGUUCAACAAGUACGAUCUGUACACGAAGAGCGACGAGACGCCAGACAUAGACGCGCUCAAGCCGUACUAUCAGAGCCUCGUAGACAAGUACCUGCCUGGAACGCUCAGCUGGUAGUGUUCCAGGUGUCCAACGGGUCUGCGGUUGUUUCCAUGGUCUAAAUAAGUGUUUGAAAAUAUUAUCAUAGCAAACGCUGAAGGGUUGAUCAAAAACAUGCUGUACAUUAUGUUGUGUGUUUAAUCACUAGGAAACUGAAUAACUUUUUCUAUCACGCUGAAUAAUAGCGGUGUGUGUAUUUGGCAAGUUUGUCUACUUAAGGGACAUGAUUCAUAAACAUAAGGGUAAAUCUUGAAAAGGACAGAUUCAUGAAACAAAUGAAAACCUUGAAACAUUUGUCAGUGUCCUGAGUAGUGGAGAUCAAAGAAUAUGAGUUGCUAGCCCAUGCAAUUCUUAUCAUAAUUUAAAAUAUCUUUUGAGAACAAUUUGCUGUAAGAACCACAGCUUUUGAUCUUACACUUUUUUCUGUAUUGUAUGCUGUAUUGUAAGUGAAAUAAAGCAAGUUAACUAUUUAUGUACAUUUCUCGAAAUAAAAACAGAAUAGAAGCUUGA